rnacentral:misc_RNA from 1 species
GAUGAAGAACGUAGCGAAAUGCGAUACGUAAUGUGAAUUGCAGAAUUCAGUGAAUCAUCGAAUCUUUGAACGCAUAUUGCGCUCUUUGGUAUUCCGAAGAGCAUGCUUGUUUGAGUAUCAGUAAACACCUCAACCUCUUCUUGAUUUUUCAAAAGGAGGGUGGACUUGAGCUAUCCCAACAACCUUUACCGGUCGGCGGGCGGCUUGAAAUGCAGGUGCAGCUGGACUUUUAUCUGAGCUAAAAGCAUAUCUAUUUAGUCCUCGUCAAACAGGAUUAUUACUUUUGCUGCAGCUAACAUAAAGGAUAAUUGUCCUCUUUGCUGACUGAUGCAGGAUUUUACGACACUUUAUGUGUUGUUCAACUCGAUCUCAAAUCAAGUAAGACUACCCGCUGAACUUAAGCAUAUCAAUAAGCGGGGA